AGGACGAACGCUGGCGGCGUGCCUAACACAUGCAAGUCGAACGGGGUAGCAAUACCCAGUGGCGGACGGGUGCGUAACACGUGAGGAACAUGUCUUUCGGCGGGGAAUAGCCGGCCUAACGGCCGGGUAAUACCGCGUACGACGAUUGGAGCGCAUGCUUCGAUCGUGAAAGCAGCAAUGCACGAUAGAGUGCCUCGCGGACCUAUCAGCUAGGUUGGUAGAGGUAAUCGGCUACACCAAGGCUACGGACGGUAGCUGGUCUGGAGAGGAUGAAUUACGCACUAGUUGGGACUGAGACGACGGACCAGACGUCCGACGGGAGC
rnacentral:rRNA from 1 species